rnacentral:ribozyme from 15 species
AACACACAAGAGAAGAAAAAGAGAAAAAGAAGAAAACAACAUGUGAUGAAAGCUGACACCCAAGACGGGGAGUCUUUAGUUGUUUGAACUUUUUUCUCUUUUUCGUGUGCUCAAGGUAUUCUUCUGGUAUUUCAUCUGAU